GUAAAAGCUGAUUUUCUUUUCAUUACUUUCCAGCACCUACAGCCACAACACAGCCAGAGGACCUAACAUAUAGGAAGUCUCAACUGCCUCUGGUUCUUACCACAGUGAUGUGUGUGGCAGCCCUGGUAUUUGUAUGUGUAUUCACAAUAUCUCUGCAGCUGACUGUUGCGCAACAGAACUCAGGCACAGAACAGAAGAGAGAGAUCUCAUCCGACUAUGAGCCGGCACCCUACACCUGCCGCGGGCCUCCAUCUUGCACGAACGUAGAAGCAUUACCGCCACCACCGCUACCUGAGCUACCUGAACUGUGCUCAUGCCCAAAGCUUAGGGAACCCGCCGGCGGCGCUUGUGACAGCCUGGACCCAGAUGAUUAUGUGAAUGUGGAUGUAUCCAUGCAGACUUGCCAUUACCAGAACCUGGAUCCCAACCUGCUAGAUGUGCACAUCUACGAAUCCCUCCAUCCAAACAGAAACCUUAACGGUGUAUCUGUGGAGCUCAAAAGCUUUACCGCCACACAGAGUGCCUCUUGAUCGUGUUGUCGGAGCUGAGGGGUGAAACAAAGAACUAACGUGUCUGUGAUGUUCUGUGUCCAAUAAUGUGCUCCUCGUAGGUCCAUGUUGUUAUCGUGACCCUAAAGGCCCCUGUGAUUUAUUUGACCAUUUCAAAUCGAGGUAUAUUUAUGUAUGUAAUUGAAGAUUUGACUUAUAAAUUAGAAAAUAAGCAUUUUGUGUCCUUCUCAACCGAACCUAGUUGAAAAAAUGGGCCCGUCUCUCUCUUGUUUAUGGACAUUACUGGUGAAUUUGUAAUGUAUGUUAUCUGUUAUUACAGUUUGUUCUGUUUAUCUUUUGGACAGCAAACUGACCAAUCGAACUCCAUGUCAUUUUACCAACUGCAAAGACCCGACGCAGUCUUCUGGCGUGCAGGGCAACCCUGGCUAAAGUCGAACAAACCCCACUGAUGUGGAGGCACAUGUCUCAUCAAUAUCAACGGUCUCCUUAUUGUAAUCGCCUUCUUUAUUCAGUAAUGUACCUCUCACUGGGAAUGUAGUGACAUAAGUGAUGUAAUAA